UACAGAGGGGGCAAGCGUUAUUCGGAAUUAUUGGGCGUAAAGGGCGCGUAGGCGGCUUGGCAAGUGGAAGGUGAAAUCCCCUCGGCUUAGCCGAGGAACUGCCCUCCAAACUGCUUGCGCUUGAGACCGGGAGAGGUGAGUGGAAUUCCCAGUGUAGCGGUGAAAUGCGUAGAUAGUUGGGAGGAACACCAGUGGCGAAGGCGGCUCACUGGACCGGAACUGGACGCUGAUGCGCGAAAGCGUGGGGAGCAAACGGG
rnacentral:rRNA from 1 species